rnacentral:rRNA from 1 species
UACGGAGGGUGCAAGCGUUGUUCGGAAUUACUGGGCGUAAAGCGCGUGUAGGCGGCCUUUUAAGUCUGGUGUGAAAUCCCGGGGCUCACCCCCGGAAGUGCACUGGAUACUGGGAGGCUCGAGUACCGGAGAGGAGGGUGGAAUUCCUGGUGUAGCGGUGAAAUGCGUAGAUAUCAGGAGGAACACCGGUGGCGAAGGCGGCCCUCUGGACGGAUACUGACGCUGAGGCGCGACAGCGUGGGGAGCAAACGGG